rnacentral:rRNA from 1 species
UACGUAGGUGGCAAGCGUUAUCCGGAAUUAUUGGGCGUAAAGCGCGCGCAGGCGGUUUCUUAAGUCUGCUGUGAAAGCCCACGGCUCAACCGUGGAGGGUCAUUGGAAACUGGGGAACUUGAGUGCAGAAGAGAAAAGCGGAAUUCCACGUGUAGCGGUGAAAUGCGUAGAGAUGUGGAGGAACACCAGUGGCGAAGGCGGCUUUUUGGUCUGUAACUGACGCUGAGGCGCGAAAGCGUGGGGAGCAAACAGG